AAAUUAUAUAAAACAUAGAUAAAAUGAAAAGGGUGGCCGGCCAUGUGGUCUUUUAGAGUUGUGUGAACCCAAUUUUUAUAAAAUUCAAAUCCCAUUUAAUUAAGAAGUCAAGUGGGCAAGUGGGUAGAAAAGCACUCAAGUGUUUUGUGAUAUUUUGAAGAGUAUUGUGAGCUAUUCUAACCCCCAAACCGAUCCCCCACACUCUCUCAAUCACUCUCAUCUGAUUUUUGAAGACCCUCUCAAGUUCUCUCUCAAUAUUCAACCUCAAGAACACCAAGGAAAACUUGGAGGCUAAGUCUUGGUCUAGGAAGUAUUUUCCCUAAGGGUUUUUGAAAGGUUUUGGAGGAGCCAAAGCUAAUAGGAAGGUCCAAACCUUAAGCAAGAACACCAAAGAGUAUUGGCUAAGCGUAACUGGACUGAACGUUGGAGGGUGAAAACCUGCUGAGCGCUAAGGACUCCAAAUAAGAGCAUGGGCAAGGCAGAGCAGUGAGCGCUGGAGUCUUCCUUGCAAAUGUACAUGUGGACCGACCUUUUGGGAAGCCUUUUUAUUUUUGGAAAUGUUGUGUAAUUUUCCUAAACUAGGCUCACUCUAAUCUUUAUAAAACAUGUUUGUAACUAAAUGUUAAGUAUGGUCAUACGACUUUUUAAAAAGUUUUUUUUUCUAUGGGUUUUUGAGACAUUUGGUUAAAUGAAAACAUUUAUA